AGUGGAUGGGGAGCAACCUAGUUGUGCGUGUGUAAAGGUAGUGCCAAGAAAAGCGAUGAUCAUGUUGAAAAUCAAUUCCCGGUACCCGAAACCGACACAGGUGGGCAAGUAGAGAAUACUAAGGGGCGCGAGGUAACUCUCUCCAAGGAACUCGGCAAAAUGACCCCGUAACUUAGGGAGAAGGGGUGCCACCGAGAGGUGGUCGCAGUGAAGAGGCCCAGGCGACUGUUUAGCAAAAACAUAGGUCUCUGCAAACUCGAAAGAGGAGGUAUAGGGGCUGACGCCUGCCCAGUGCCGGAAGGUUAAAGAAGUUGGUCAGUUUUAGGAUGAAGCUAGCGACUGAAGCCCCGGUGAACGGCGGCCGUAACUAUAACGGUCCUAAGGUAGCGAAAUUCCUUGUCGGGUAAGUUCCGACCCGCACGAAAGGCGUAACGAUCUGGGCGCUGUCUCGGAGAGAGGCUCGGCGAAAUAGGAUUGUCUGUGAAGAUACGGACUACCUGCAUUUGGACAGAAAGACCCUAUGAAGCUUUACUAUAGCUUGGAAUUGUGUUCGGGCUUCCUGUGCGCAGGAUAGGUGGGAGGCGUAGAAGGUAUUCUUGUGGGGAUACUGGAGCCAACGGUGAGAUACCACUCUCAGGAGGCUAGAAUUCUAACUUAAUUAAGGACAUUUUCAGGUGGGUAGUUUGACUGGGGCGGUCGCCUCCAAAAAGGUAACGGAGGCGUACAAAGGUUCCCUCAGACUGGUUGGAAAUCAGUCGAAGAGUGCAAAGGCAGAAGGGAGCUUGACUGCGAGAAGUACAGUUCGAGCAGGGUGGAAACACGGUCUUAGUGAUCCGACGGUGCUGUGUGGAAGGGCCGUCGCUCAACGGAUAAAAGUUACUCUAGGAUAACAGGCUGAUCUCCCCCAAGAGUUCACAUCGACGGGGAGGUUUGGCACCUCGAUGUCGGCUCAUCGCAACCUGGGGCGGAAGUACGUCCCAAGGGUUGGGCUGUUCGCCCAUUAAAGCGGUACGUGAGCUGGGUUCAGAACGUCGUGAGACAGUUCGGUCCAUAUCCGAUGUAGGCGUGAGAAUAUUGAGAGGAGCCUUCCUUAGUACGAGAGGACCGGGAAGGACGCACCGCUGGUGUACCUGUUAUGAUGCCAAUUGUAAACGCAGGGUAGCCAAGUGCGGAGAGGAUAACCGCUGAAAGCAUCUAAGUGGGAAGCCCACCUCAAGAUGAGUAUUCUGGUGUAAGGUCACGGGAAGACGACCCGUAAAUAGGCACGAGGUGGAAGUGCAGAGAUGUAUGAAGCCGAAGUGUACUAAUAGACCGUCGGCUUGAGC
rnacentral:rRNA from 1 species